rnacentral:tRNA from 1 species
GGGUAUAGUUUAAUGGUAGAAUAGCGGUCUCCAAAACCGUUGGUCAGGGUUCGAAUCCUUGUACC